rnacentral:rRNA from 1 species
UACGUAGGGGGCAAGCGUUGUCCGGAAUCAUUGGGCGUAAAGCGCGUGUAGGCGGCCCGGUAAGUCCGCUGUGAAAGUCGGGGGCUCAACCCUCGAAUGCCGGUGGAUACUGUCGGGCUAGAGUGCGGAAGAGGCGAGUGGAAUUCCUGGUGUAGCGGUGAAAUGCGCAGAUAUCAGGAGGAACACCAAUUGCGAAGGCAGCUCGCUGGGACGUUACUGACGCUGAGACGCGAAAGCGUGGGGAGCAAACAGG